AUGCAAGUCGAACGAGAGAAGAGAAGCUUGCUUUUCUGAUCUAGUGGCGGACGGGUGAGUAACACGUGAGCAAUCUGCCUUUCAGAGGGGGAUACCGAUUGGAAACGAUCGUUAAUACCGCAUAACAUAAUUGAACCGCAUGAUUUGAUUAUCAAAGAUUUAUCGCUGAAAGAUGAGCUCGCGUCUGAUUAGCUAGUUGGUAAGGUAACGGCUUACCAAGGCGACGAUCAGUAGCCGGACUGAGAGGUUGAUCGGCCACAUUGGGACUGAGACACGGCCCAGACUCCUACGGGAGGCAGCAGUGGGGAAUAUUGCACAAUGGAGGAAACUCUGAUGCAGCGAUGCCGCGUGAGGGAAGAAGGUUUUAGGAUUGUAAACCUCUGUCUUCAGGGACGAAAAAAUGACGGUACCUGAGGAGGAAGCUCCGGCUAACUACGUGCCAGCAGCCGCGGUAAUACGUAGGGAGCGAGCGUUGUCCGGAAUUACUGGGUGUAAAGGGAGCGUAGGUGGGAUCGCAAGUCAGAUGUGAAAACUAUGGGCUUAACCCAUAAACUGCAUUUGAAACUGUGGUCCUUGAGUGAAGUAGAGGUAAGCGGAAUUCCUAGUGUAGCGGUGAAAUGCGUAGAUAUUAGGAGGAACAUCAGUGGCGAAGGCGGCUUACUGGGCUUUAACUGACGCUGAGGCUCGAAAGCGUGGGGAGCAAACAGGAUUAGAUACCCUGGUAGUCCACGCCGUAAACGAUGAUUACUAGGUGUGGGGGGACUGACCCCUUCCGUGCCGCAGCAAACGCAAUAAGUAAUCCACCUGGGGAGUACGACCGCAAGGUUGAAACUCAAAGGAAUUGACGGGGGCCCGCACAAGCAGUGGAGUAUGUGGAUUAAUUCGAAGCAACGCGAAGAACCUUACCAGGUCUUGACAU
rnacentral:rRNA from 1 species